GACGAACGCUGGCGGCGUGCUUAACACGUGCAAGUCGAACGGAAAGGCCCUGCUUUUGUGGGGUGCUCGAGUGGCGAACGGGUGAGUAACACGUGAGUAACCUGCCCUUGACUUUGGGAUAACUUCAGGAAACUGGGGCUAAUACCGGAUAGGAGCUCCUGCUGCAUGGUGGGGGUUGGAAAGUUUCGGCGGUUGGGGAUGGACUCGCGGCUUAUCAGCUUGUUGGUGGGGUUGUGGCUUACCAAGGCUUUGACGGGUAGCCGGCCUGAGAGGGUGACCGGCCACAUUGGGACUGAGAUACGGCCCAGACUCCUACGGGAGGCAGCAGUGGGGAAUAUUGCACAAUGGGCGGAAGCCUGAUGCAGCAACGCCGCGUGCGGGAUGACGGCCUUCGGGUUGUAAACCGCUUUCGCCUGUGACGAAGCGUGAGUGACGGUAAUGGGUAAAGAAGCACCGGCUAACUACGUG
rnacentral:rRNA from 1 species